GUCCCUAUGUCACUGGUCACAUACAGUAUAUAUAUAUAUAAUGUGUAACAACUGUAAUAAAGGUUCAUAUUGAGAACACAGCACGUGUGAGGUCCCUAUGUCACUGGUCACAUAUAUAUAUAUAAUGUGUAACAACUGUAAUAAAGGUUCAUAUUGAGAACACA